GCCGAAUUUAGCAGGCUUGGUUGAUGGCGGGUACGAACGAGCCUCCUCUCUCAUCAAGCGCAAAGACCGAGUUUAAGAUUGUAACCUCGUAGUUUUCGCUCAAGAGCAGAAGUGGAGAUCACAAAGAAGGUCUAAUGGCGUGUUCCUCUUAUUGCUGUUGAAAGAUGGAAGCGAAAGAAGCUGCUAACGAGUUUCAGAAGAAAGGCACAAAGCGUAGGAAGGGAGUGGAAGACAGUAGCAAAAGAUCUGGGAAUGCGGGUGCUCCACGUACGCGUUCUCAGGUAGCUCCUGACUGGACCACCAAGGAAGCACUCAUUCUUGUCAACGAGAUUGCUGCUGUUGAAGGGGAUUGUUUAAGAGUUUUGUCUUCCUACCAGAAAUGGAAAAUUAUAGUCGAAAACUGUACUGUUUUGGAUUUACCACGCACUGCGAAUCAGUGUCGGAGCAAGUGGAAUUCGUUGCUGGCUGAGUACAACCAGAUCAAACAAUGGGAUUCCAAGUCCAAGAACGAUUCGUAUUGCUUUUUGGACUGUGAAAGGAGAAAACAAUUAGGACUUCCUGAGAAUUUUGACAACGAGCUCUUCAAAGCUAUUGACGAUUAUGUGAGGGCACAGAAGGACCGCCCGGAUACGGAUCCAGAUACUGAUCCGGAGGCACAGGCUGACCUGCUUCAUGUAAUAGCAAAACUUGGUAUGUUUUUUCUGCUUAGCAAUCUACUUCUUAUUUAUAAUUUUAUUAACUCGUUGAUGGAUGUUGCUUAUAAUAUUAAAUAUAACAAUUGGACUGAGACUUGAACUCAACUUCUUAGCUCCAGGGACGACUCCUUUACAAAUGAGCUCCGCUGAGGUGGAGCUCAUUGGUAAAUGUAAGUAAUCAUUGAUAAUUUAUAAUUUUCAUAUUUUUGGUUGACUGCCAUCCAUUUUAUUGCAAUUGUGUAAUUUUUGUCCAUUUGAAUACCAAAAUCAAGUGCUUAAUCUUAAGGACUUCCUAAUGUUGCUGUCUUGAAUAUUCUGAAAAUGAAAAAGAUUAUUUGCUAUUGCUAUUGAACUGCAUUUAUAACCAUUUGAUAUUGCUUUUCUACUAGUAGCUCUUGAAAGCUCUAAUGGAUUGUCGGAUCUCCAUGAACAUAUAAUUGUCCACAACAGCUCCUUAAUGCUUGCUUUUUAAAUUGUGGCAUAUAAAUUAUGGAGAUAAAGCUACUUCUGAUGAAAAUUUAUUCUAGUGGUAUCAUGUUAUGCUUCUUAAAUUUUAUGUUUUGGAUUUUAUCUUGUCAGAAAUCAAACAUCACAUUUAUUACCGUUCACAGAUCAUUUUCCUUGAUCUGGGGCAAAAUUUUUAAGUUCUUCAUUCCUUUUCAUAGGUAAAGAUCAUGGUGAGUUUCUUAUGAUUCAAAUAUGAAGCAGGGUUGUAUGCAAAACUACUAAUAGAUGCCAGAGCUGCUACAUUUCUGGUUUGGUUUACUGUAACUUUUCCAUGUGAUUUAUGUCUUUUUUGUUGCUUGAAUGGGCGACAGUUUAUGUUUCUCUUGGUAUUAAACAUUUGUGAGAGAGAAUAUUUGUGUGCAUGUGAUGUGGAUGAAACAGACAGUGGGGAGCUUUGAAUCAUGAAAGCUUAGAUGCUUACGUUUAAGACUUGUCUAGGUGUUAUUUAAAUAAUAAAAUUGAAGGAAUGAUGACAUUUUUAUCAUUUCUGUGGUUCCUGGGAAUUGUGUAAUAAAAUGUUCAAAUUUUUUGAGACUUUAUUGCAUAAAAAAAAACUUGAUAUGGCAGGAAUUGAUGGUGGAGACUGGAAAUAUGUGUUAGCAACUUAGCGUAACUGCUUAAGUUUCUUGAACCAUUGAUCUUGCACAUUGAGUAAUGUAUCUUGUUAUACUCUGUUGAUGAUUGUGCUUGAACCUAUCAGAGAUUCAGAGUAGAACAAUGAAGCUGCUUUUCAGUACCUGUAUUGUUAAGGCUAAUGGUAUCGGUGUUAUUAUAACUUUGUCUUUAUAGGGUCCAAGAGAAAACUUAAUGCAUUACUAGGAGAAAAGCCUCAAAAUUGCUGCACAAAGGAACAGCCUCUGAAAUUCCAUACUGGAGAGGAACCUCAGAAUAGUUGGAAGGGAGAAAAUCCUCAGAUGUGCUGUGAAAAGGAAAAGCCUCAGAAUAUCCAGGCUGAAGAGAAACCUCAGAAGACUCUUAUGGAAGAGAAGCCUAAAAAUGACUGCACACAAAAAAGGAAGAUAACUGGCACAGAAGAAAUGGACCAAAUGAUGGUGGACAGGCUGCGAGAGAAUGCAGAAUUCAUCCAUGCUAUAGUUCAAGAAAACCCUCCUGAGAUAGCAGACUUUGGGGCCGCUGAUUUUGUAAGAGGUCAAGGGGACAAGCUUAUUGCAUGCCUUGGUGAUAUUGUAAAUAUCCUUAACCAAUGUCCUCAUCUUGUCCAAGCCAGUGACUAGCUGAUGAAUCUCGUUAAAUUUAACUUUCAGAGUACUGGUGGAAUUCUGUAGCUAUCUUGACUAGAACCAGUGGAAUUAAGUGUUGCUGUCUAGCUUAUGAUCUGGUAUGUCAUAUGUGAUGGGAAAGGCAAUAAAUUGUCAUGUAGUUUGUGGAGAUGGCGUCAAAAUUUGCCGGGGACCAGGAUUUGAUCCAUUGGUUCAGAAGUGAUUAUUGAAUAUAUUCGGUAUGUAUACAUCCUUGCUCACAGUUAUAUAGAAUUCACUUUCUUUAUGAGUAUGAGAUAAUUCUGAAAUUUUCCUUAGACCAUGGAGUCAAUUGUUCGGCAAUCAUUGGGAAGAAAACAGAUUUCUACAGUCUUUGCCUGAUUGAAUGGUCAACCGGUGCAGAUGUUAAUACUGCUCUUCGAAAAGGUUCCUUCCAAGCUUGUCCCAUGUUGGUUGUCGGAUGUGUGGGAAGAUUUUGGCCUGUCGUGUGUCUGCAGAGAUAUUUUUUAGAUAAAAGGCGCUCGCAUAGACUUUUUUAAGGAGAGAAUAAUAGAUAUGACAUUUUUUUUACAAUAAUAAAAGAUGUAACAUUAUAAUCAGUAUUAUCAAACUAAAAUAUUUAUAAUAUAAAAUUAAAUAAUCAAAUAAUAUAAAAUGUAUUUAAUUUAAUAUUAGGCUUUAUUAAUUUUAUGGAAAAUAUUUUUGUUAUAUUCUCUGUUUCCAUAAAUUUAUUGUAUGGGAAGAGGUGUUGAAGCAAUACCAAACAUAUAUAAAAUUCUCAUAGUGCUAAAAGGAAAGCAUAUAUGCUGCAUAUCAAUGUUUUGUGAACUUCCUUAUUGAACAUUGAUGUUUUAUCAAUGCAAAUUUCCGAUGAUAUACAGGUGGUGCCUCUGGAAAAUUUGAAUGGCCGCAAACUUGUUGAAGGAGGAGAUCUUUGUGAGAGGAGAAAUGGAAGAGGAGUCGAUCUCAAUCGGAAUUGGAGUGUUGAUUGGGGCAAAAAGGAGGAGGUUUUUUUUAUGCUUAUUCACUCUAUUCCCUUUGAAUUCUACUCUGUUUUUUGUAUUAGAGUUUAAGAUUUCUACUCGAGAUAUAAUGUCUUUGGCAAUUCUGGAUUUUAAUUUUAAAUGAGCGUGAUAUGGAAUUUAUUUUGUUGAAAGCACCAUUGACAAAGCUUUAGACUAAAUCACUGAGGUCUUAGCCUUCCUUGUCACUACCAUUUAAUGUUUAAAUGCUACAACUUCAAAUUAACAGUAUGCUGUCAUGUGAUAUGAUGUCUCUGUCUCAUAUUAGUUGCUUAUCUAAUUAUAGGAUUACGAUCCAUAUGAAGAGAAUCAUGGCACUGGUCCUUUCAGUGAGCCCGAAACUCAAAUAAUGCGGAAACUUGCCCUAUCAUUCGAUCCUCACAUAUGGGUUAAUGUGCACUCUGGAAUGGAGGCUUUAUUUAUGCCAUAUGACCACAGGAACACGACACCUGAUGGGUUACCCUCACAGCGGAUGAAGUCGUUGCUUAAUGAACUGAAUCAAGUUCAUUGUCACAAGCGUUGCAUGAUUGGUUCAGGGGGAGGCUCUGUUGGGUUAGUCUAUUUAUCUGUGAGCCUUACAACCUAAGUGAGGCAAAUAUGUUCAUUAUUGCUUAAUUACAGUGCAGUACACAGACACUUGUGCACAUUCAUUAAUGGCUUCUUUUGUUUGAUUUGUAAUGUACCUCAUCCAAUUUUAGUUUAUGUAGCCUUGUCUGCAUUGUGAAAUGUCUGGUUAUGGUCUUCUAUAGCUCAGAAUAACGUAAUUAGGUUAUAAUGUCAUGUAUGUAUAGACAUCUAGUUGUUGGGGUUGCGGAGAAGAAUGCAAAAGGUUUCAGAAAAAGUGUUAUAGGUAUCAUAAGUACUUUUUGAUAAUAUUGAAGUUUUAGCUCUUCUUUGUUGGGAUAUGGAAAUUGUGUCUUGUUUGUACUUCAGCAAGCAUGUUGAAAUCGUAUUCAAACUCCAAUUUUGUUAUAUCUGAAUCUGAUUUGGUAUGAUUUGCAAGUCUAUAUUUAGCAUUGGUUUAUGUACUAGGAUUGCAGUCAAUAGCAGGACCUGAAGGUUGGCUGGCCAUUAGUUCUCAUAUUCAAAUUCAAGUUCUUAGUGAGUUUGCAGGGCUUUGGAGAUGGAUCUCUCCUCUACUAGCAUUUGAUUAUUUUUUUGCAUUUUGAAGAACUUCAGUUCCCUAGGUUGACAUUUUAUCAACUUGAAGGGAAUGUGUAUCAUUUGCUGUAAAAUGCUGAAUCAUGGUCUUUUAUUCAUCAAUGUGGCUAUGCCAGUUGGAAAUACUGACAUGCUUAUUGGUUUUAUUCCAUGCUAAAUUUAGGUAUCUUGCACAUGGAACAGCAACAGAUUACAUGUACGACAUUGUAAAAGUGCCUAUGGCUUUCACCUUUGAGAUAUAUGGGGAUCCAACAGCAUCAUCAAAAGACUGCUUUAAAAUGUUCAAUCCUGUUGACCUCACUACCUUCAAUAGAGUUCUCAAUGAUUGGUCUGCUGCUUUUUUUACUAUAUUUAAAAUGGGACCACUCCAACUAGAUGAGAUCGGAUCAAAGGCUUCUACAUCCAGUUUGGACAAGUGGGUAUCCAUAGAUGAAUAUCUUGAUGGGUACUUAAUGGAGAGGAGAAAUAGAUAUGGUAAGAAGAUAGAGGUGCUAGAUCUUGGGAUGCAGGAGAUAAGGACGUAUUUUAGGCUCUUCUUGCUGUCCUCAGUUCUGUUGUUUUUCAUGUUUUGUUCUAGAAUUUCAAAGAGCAAGUCUAGUAGACCUAUUGUUUCAGGCAUGGCCCUAUGAUCUUGUAUCUUGACAGGUGCUAGUGUGUUUUACGAGUGAGAGAGACAGAGAUGUAUUACAUUCUUUGGAGGAUAUUUUGAUUUGUGUAAUUAAACCUUAUAUAGGAUAAUUUUUUUUUCCAUAAUGCAACACUGAUUUCUUUAAUGAAUUGCAACAACUAUCACUGUAACUGUACUGAAGUUUUUACAUUCUCUGCCUGUCCUGUUCCCUUGCAGUACUAAUCCUGGAGAGCUAAUGCUUUGACGGACCUAACUAAUUUCUCAUUUGUCUUCAAGACGUGAGCAAUGCACACGAUAAAAUCUAUCUCUACCGCCAAAUGACUGUCCCACUUCGGUAUAGAUGUCAAUAAAUAGUACGACUUCGGCAUCGAUGUCAAUAAAUAGUCCGACUUUCAAAAGGGGGCAAGUGUCCUUUGAUUGCUAACAUGAUUAAAGAUGUGCCAAAAUCAGCAAUAUAAACCUUAUCAACUCUUCAUCACAAAUACUCUUUUGGAAAUUCCAACACAAAACGUUGUUUCAUUUCAAAUUUAGUUAUUCUAAUAUCCUUUUCAAGUAGUAGGCUAUUUAUCGAGUUGCACAAAAUACUCUCAUCUCAGUGAUUAGGCUUAGGUUCUGAUUGGCAAUAUUAAUUGUUCUAAUUGUUGUUAGUUGGAUUAACUGUUAAAUGUAAAAUAGUUUACUGCUCUCCCAACCUCUAAAACAGUGACUAAAUAAGAGAGAUAUUAUUUUAACUAUAAAAACAGUGACUAAACAGGGCUUAAGUAUAGUUCAAAAUGCUUUCAGGAUUUCAAUUGGUACAUGAAAUUUUUUUCUUUUUUAUAAGCAAAAAUUAUUACAUGAAGUUGUUAAUAUAUUCUUGCUUAAUUGGAAUUCUUCUCCUUUUGUCGCUCAUAUUGACUAAUUUUACUAAUUUCUUUCUUCAAUUUUCAGGAGAAAAACAUUUACUGAAGAAUUCAGAAGACUAGCUCCUGCGUCUCCUUUACUAAGCCCUUGCAAAGUAAAUAAAGUUGUAUUUAUAUUUUUCUGAACAUCUCUUGUUGGCAUAAGAAAACUUCCAAGGCAUGCAGUUGCCUUUUAUUUUUACCAUAAAUCGAUUAUGUUUGAUGUAAAACUUUGGCACCUGCUUACUGUUUGUUCUAUUAUAUAUGUAUGCUUUUACUAAUAAAUUGAUGUGCCUUAAUU
rnacentral:misc_RNA from 1 species